GACGAACGCUGGCGGCGUGCUUAACACGUGCAAGUCGAACGGAAAGGCCCUGCUUUUGUGGGGUGCUCGAGUGGCGAACGGGUGAGUAACACGUGAGUAACCUGCCCUUGACUUUGGGAUAACUUCAGGAAACUGGGGCUAAUACCGGAUAGGAGCUCCUGCUGCAUGGCGGGGGUUGGAAAGUUUCGGCGGUUGGGGAUGGACUCGCGGCUUAUCAGCUUGUUGGUGGGGUAGUGGCUUACCAAGGCUUUGACGGGUAGCCGGCCUGAGAGGGUGACCGGCCACAUUGGGACUGAGAUACGGCCCAGACUCCUACGGGAGGCAGCAGUGGGAAAUAUUGCACAAUGGGCGGAAGCCUGAUGCAGCAACGCCGCGUGCGGGAUGACGGCCUUCGGGUUGUAAACCGCUUUCGCCUGUGACGAAGCGUGAGUGACGGUAAUGGGUAAAGAAGCACCGGCUAACUACGUG
rnacentral:rRNA from 1 species